rnacentral:tRNA from 1 species
GCGCCAGUGGUUGAAUGGUACAAUACGACGUUGCCAACGUUGUGGCCUGGGUUCGAUUCCCGGCUGGCGCA